ACGCUGGCGGCGUGCCUAACACAUGCAAGUCGAACGGGCGCGCCGAUGAACUUUUCGAGCGGAAUUGCGCUGCCUAGUGCGGACGGGUGAGUAACGCGUGAGCAACCUGCCCUGCACUGGGGGACAACAGCUGGAAACGGCUGCUAAUACCGCAUAGGCGCACAGCCCCGCAUGGGGCGGUGUGGAAAGUAAUAUGGUGCAGGAUGGGCUCGCGUCUGAUUAGCUUGUUGGCGGGGUAACGGGCCCACCAAGGCGACGAUCAGUAGCCGGCCUGAGAGGGUGGACGACCACAUUGGGACUGAGACACGGCCCAGACUCCUACGGGAGGCAGCAGUGGGGGAUAUUGCACAAUGGGGGGAACCCUGAUGCAGCGACGCCGCGUGGGCGAUGGAGUACUUCGGUAUGUAAAGCCCUAUCAGCAGGGAAGAAAAUGACGGUACCUGACUAAGAAGCCCCGGCUAAAUACGUG
rnacentral:rRNA from 1 species